rnacentral:rRNA from 1 species
UACAGGGGUCUCAAGCGUUAAUCGGAAUUACUGGGCUUAAAGGGUGCGUAGGCGGGCCUGAAAGUGCCUUGUGAAAUCCCCCGGCUCAACCGGGGAACUGCGGGGCAUACUCCAGGUCUUGAAGAAGGUAGGCGCCGAGGGAACAGUAGGUGGAGCGGUGAAAUGCGUAGAUAUCUACUGGAACGCCGAUGGUGAAGACGCUCGGCUGGGCCUUUCUUGACGCUGAGGCACGAAAGCGUGGGGAGCAAACAGG